rnacentral:rRNA from 1 species
UCAUGCUAUAGGAGCGGCCGAUGUCUGAUUAGCUAGUUGGUGGGGUAAAGGCCCACCAAGGCGACGAUCAGUAGCUGGUCUGAGAGGACGAUCAGCCACACUGGGACUGAGACACGGCCCAGACUCCUACGGGAGGCAGCAGUGGGGAAUUUUGGACAAUGGGGGCAACCCUGAUCCAGCAAUGCCGCGUGUGUGUAG